GCCACCGAUCGGACCGGGUCUUGUGUCCAAAACCAUCUACUCGGCGAGAGCUUUCCAUAGACACCAAGAACGCCGAAAUCCAUUGAGCGGAUUGUCCGAUUUUAGCUCGGGAAGAUUUUAGCCCAUUUCGACUUUUGGGCUAGAUUUCUCGAAAACCGUGAAUCCCACGAGAAAACCGAGGCCACCAACACGCUCCAUUCGUCGAGAGCUUCGCAACGACAUAAAUUUCGAAUUUUUCCGACACCGUUUUUCGGUAUCCUCGAUUCGCGGAAAUUCGACAGUUGACCGGGUCUGCAAAUUUCGGGCCAGACAGACCCGUUACCGGAAAAGUCUCCGAAUUGGACCGAGGUUUUGGCUAGCCCCCCAUUGUCAGACGUCCCAAGCGCGUUCCCGAAGUCGGAAUCGGCAAAGGUGAGCCGGGACAGCCUUCUUCCUCCGCCCAGCCGCCACAGUAAUUUGUCGUCAAGUUUGUGAGUAAAAUAUUAAUUUU